rnacentral:rRNA from 1 species
GACGUAGGGCGCGAGCGUUGUCCGGAUUUAUUGGGCGUAAAGAGCUCGUAGGCGGCUUGUCGCGUCGUUCGUGAAAACCCACGGCUCAACUGUGGGCUUGCGGUCGAUACGGGCAGGCUGGAGUUCGGUAGGGGAGACUGGAAUUCCUGGUGUAGCGGUGAAAUGCGCAGAUAUCAGGAGGAACACCGGUGGCGAAGGCGGGACUCUGGGCCGAUACUGACGCUGAGGAGCGAAAGCGUGGGGAGCAAACAGG